rnacentral:rRNA from 1 species
CCUACGGGCAGCAGCAGUGGGGAAUAUUGGACAAUGGGGGGAACCCUGAUCCAGCCAUGCCGCGUGUGUGAAGAAGGCCCUCGGGUUGUAAAGCACUUUCAGUGAGGAAGAACGCCUGGUGGUUAAUACCCAUCAGGAAAGACAUCACUCACAGAAGAAGCACCGGCUAACUCCGUGCCAGCAGCCGCGGUAAUACGGAGGGUGCGAGCGUUAAUCGGAAUUACUGGGCGUAAAGCGCGCGUAGGUGGCUUGAUAAGCCGGUUGUGAAAGCCCCGGGCUCAACCUGGGAACGGCAUCCGGAACUGUCAAGCUAGAGUGCAGGAGAGGAAGGUAGAAUUCCCGGUGUAGCGGUGAAAUGCGUAGAGAUCGGGAGGAAUACCAGUGGCGAAGGCGGCCUUCUGGACUGACACUGACACUGAGGUGCGAAAGCGUGGGUAGCAAACAGGAUUAGAUACCCCAGUAGUC